CAACCGAACCACACAGCCUGGUGUCAUCCGCAAGCUUGCUGAGGGAGCAUUCAAUCCCACUGUCCAUGUCGCCAAUAAAGAUGUUGAACAGGAUUGGUCCC